rnacentral:misc_RNA from 1 species
GAUGAAGAACGCAGUGAAAUGCGAUAAGUAGUGUGAAUUGCAGAAUUCAGUGAAUCAUCGAAUCUUUGAACGCACAUUGCGCCCCUUGGUAUUCCAUGGGGCAUGCCUGUUCGAGCGUCAUUUGUACCUUCAAGCUCUGCUUGGUGUUGGGUGAUUGUCUAUCUUUAUAGACUCGCCUUAAAGUCAUUGGCAGCCGGCAUAUUGGCCUGGGAGCGCAGCACAAGUCGCGCUUCUUGUCAUGAAUGUUGGCGUCCAGUAAGUCUACAUAUUUUGCUCUUGACCUCGGAUCAGGUAGGGAUACCCGCUGAACUUAAGCAUAUCAAUAAGCGGAGGA